rnacentral:rRNA from 1 species
UUGCCAGCAUUCAGUUGGGCACUCUAAGGUGACUGCCGGCUAAAAGUCGGAGGAAGUGGGGAUGACGUCAAAUCAUCAUGCCCCUUAUGACCUGGGCUACACACGUGCUACAAUGGGCGGUACAAAGGGUCGCGAACCCGCGAGGGGGAGCCAAUCCCAAAAAGCCGCUCUCAGUUCGGAUUGCAGGCUGCAACUCGCCUGCAUGAAGCCGGAAUCGCUAGUAAUCGCGGAUCAGCAUGCCGCGGUGAAUACGUUCCCGGGCCUU